rnacentral:sRNA from 1 species
UAAACACAAAAUAACUUUUUAUCAUUGACC